UACCAGCACCCCGAGUGGUCGGGACGAUUAUUGGGCCUAAAGCAUCCGUAGCCGGUUCUACAAGUCUUCCGUUAAAUCCACCUGCUUAACAGAUGGGCUGCGGAGGAUACUAUAGAGCUAGGAGGCGGGAGAGGCAAGCGGUACUUAGUGGGUAGGGGUAAAAUCCGUUGAUCCAUUGAAGACCACCAGUGGCGAAGGCGGCUUGCCAGAACGCACUCGACGGUGAGGGAUGAAAGCUGGGGGGAGCAAACCGGG
rnacentral:rRNA from 1 species